UACGAAGGGAGCUAGCGUUGUUCGGAAUUACUGGGCGUAAAGGGCGUGUAGGCGGUACCAUCAGUCAGGUGUGAAAGCCCUAGGCUUAACCUAGGAGGUGCAUUUGAUACUGUGGAACUAGAGAUCGAGAGAGGAAAGUGGAAUUACGAGUGUAGAGGUGAAAUUCGUAGAUAUUCGUAAGAACACCAGUGGCGAAGGCGACUUUCUGGCUCGAUACUGACGCUAAGGCGCGAAAGCGUGGGGAGCAAACAGG
rnacentral:rRNA from 1 species